UAUUGCACAAUGGGGGAAACCCUGAUGCAGCGACGCCGCGUGAGUGAAGAAGUAUUUCGGUAUGUAAAGCUCUAUCAGCAGGAACGAGACAAGACGGUACCUGACUAAGAAGCCCCGGCUAACUACGUGCCAGCAGCCGCGGUAAUACGUAGGGGGCAAGCGUUAUCCGGAAUCACUGGGUGUAAAGGGAGCGUAGACGGCUGAGCAAGCCUGAAGUGAAAGGCGGGGGCCCAACCCCUGGACUGCUUUGGGAACUGUACGGCUGGAGUGCAGGAGAGGUAAGUGGAAUUCCUAGUGUAGCGGUGAAAUGCGUAGAUAUUAGGAGGAACACCAGUGGCGAAGGCGGCUUACUGGACUGUAACUGACGUUGAGGCUCGAAAGCGUGGGGAGCAAACAGGA
rnacentral:rRNA from 1 species